rnacentral:misc_RNA from 1 species
GAUGAAGAACGCAGCGAAAUGCGAUAAGUAGUGUGAAUUGCAGAAUUCAGUGAAUCAUCGAAUCUUUGAACGCACAUUGCGCCCCUUGGUAUUCCAUGGGGCAUGCCUGUUCGAGCGUCAUCUACACCCUCAAGCUCUGCUUGGUGUUGGGCGUCUGUCCCGCCUCUGCGCGCGGACUCGCCCCAAAUUCAUUGGCAGCGGUCCUUGCCUCCUCUCGCGCAGCACAUUGCGCUUCUCGAGGUGCGCGGCCCGCGUCCACGAAGCAACAUUACCGUCUUUGACCUCGGAUCAGGUAGGGAUACCCGCUGAACUUAAGCAUAUCAUAAGCGGAGGA